UACGAACCGUCCAAACGUUAUUCGGAAUCACUGGGCUUAAAGGGUGCGUAGGCGGCUCGGUAAGUUGGGUGUGAAAUCCCACGGCUCAACCGUGGAAUUGCGCUCAAAACUGCCGAGCUUGAGGGAGAUAGAGGUGAGCGGAACUUCGGGUGGAGCGGUGAAAUGCGUUGAUAUCCGAAGGAACACCGGUGGCGAAAGCGGCUCACUGGGUCUCUUCUGACGCUGAGGCACGAAAGCUAGGGGAGCGAACGGG
rnacentral:rRNA from 1 species